GCCUCGGUGGUAGUGGUAAAGCACGCGUCUUCAGAUAGAAUGAAACGCGGGUUCGAUUUCCGCCUGAGGCC